rnacentral:rRNA from 1 species
UACGUAGGGGGCAAGCGUUGUCCGGAUUUAUUGGGCGUAAAGAGCUCGUAGGCGGCUUGGCAAGUCGGGUGUGAAAACUUCAGGCUCAACCUGGAGCGGCCACUCGAUACUGCUAUGGCUUGAGUCCGGUAGGGGACCACGGAAUUCCUGGUGUAGCGGUGAAAUGCGCAGAUAUCAGGAGGAACACCAGUGGCGAAGGCGGUGGUCUGGGCCGGAACUGACGCUGGAGGAGCGAAAGCGUGGGUAGCAAACAGG